rnacentral:rRNA from 1 species
UGGGGAAUAUUGCACAAUGGGCGCAAGCCUGAUGCAGCCAUGCCGCGUGUAUGAAGAAGGCCUUCGGGUUGUAAAGUACUUUCAGCGGGGAGGAAGGUGUUGAGGUUAAUAACCUCAGCAAUUGACGUUACCCGCAGAAGAAGCACCGGCUAACUCCGUGCCAGCAGCCGCGGGAAUACGGAGGGGGCAAGCGUUAAUCGGAAUUACUGGGCGUAAAGCGCACGCAGGCGGUCUGUCAAGUCGGAUGUGAAAUCCCCGGGCUCAACCUGGGAACUGCAUUCGAAACUGGCAGGCUAGAGUCUUGUAGAGGGGGGUAGAAUUCCAGGUGUAGCGGUGAAAUGCGUAGAGAUCUGGAGGAAUACCGGUGGCGAAGGCGGCCCCCUGGACAAAGACUGACGCUCAGGUGCGAAAGCGUGGGGAGCAAACA